rnacentral:rRNA from 1 species
GACGAACGCUGGCGGCGUGCUUAACACAUGCAAGUCGAACGGAAAGGCCCUGCUUUUGUGGGGUGCUCGAGUGGCGAACGGGUGAGUAACACGUGAGUAACCUGCCCUUGACUUUGGGAUAACUUCAGGAAACUGGGGCUAAUACCGGAUAGGAGCUCCUGCUGCAUGGUGGGGGUUGGAAAGUUUCGGCGGUUGGGGCUGGACUAGCGGCUUAUCAGCUUGUUGGUGGGGUAGUGGCUUACCAAGGCUUUGACGGGUAGCCGGCCUGAGAGGGUGACCGGCCACAUUGGUACUGAGAUACGGCCCAGACUCCUACGGGAGGCAGCAGUGGGGAAUAUUGCACAAUGGGCGGAAGCCUGAUGCAGCGACGCCGCGUGCGGGAUGACGGCCUUCGGGUUGUAAACCGCUUUCGCCUGUGACGAAGCGUGAGUGACGGUAAUGGGUAAAGAAGCACCGGCUAACUACGUG